CCUACGGGAGGCAGCAGUGGGGAAUAUUGCACAAUGGGGGAAACCCUGAUGCAGCGACGCCGCGUGAGUGAAGAAGUAUCUCGGUACGUAAAGCUCUAUCAGCAGGGAAGAUAAUGACGGUACCCGACCAAGAAGCCCCGGCUAACUACGUGCCAGCAGCCGCGGUAAUACGUAGGGGGCGAGCGUUAUCCGGAAUUACUGGGUGUAAAGGGAGCGUAGACGGCGAGGUUAGCCUGAAGUGGAAGCCCGCGGACCAACCGCGGGACUGCUUUGGGGACUGUUUUGCUGGAGUAUGGGAGGGGUAAGCGGAAUUCCAGGUGUAGCGGUGAAAUGCGUAGAUAUCAGGAGGAACACCGGUGGCGAAGGCGGCUUACUGGACCAUAACUGACGUUGAGGCUCGAAAGCGUGGGGAGCGAACAGGAUUAGAUACCCCAGUAGUC
rnacentral:rRNA from 1 species